AUGGCAGGGGUUCUGAAUGCCUUGGCGUCUUACGUGACCAAGACUCUCGCCGACAUGGCCAGAGAUGAGGUGGCCAUGCUGAUCGGGGUCUCUGGCCGGAUCGACGACCUGAGCAUCAAACUUAGGGACCUCAAUAACUUCCUUGCGGAUGCAGAUAGGAGGAACAUCACUGACGAGAGUGUUCGUGCGUGGGUGGACGAACUGAAGCAUGCCAUGUACCUCGCCACCGAUAUCCUUGAUCUUUGUCAGCUCAAGUUCAUGGCGAAAGGUACAUCCAAGGACAUGGGGUGCCUUAACCCCCUGCUCUUCUGCAUGCGAAGUCCCCUCCACACCCAUGACAUAGGCACCCGCAUCAAAGCACUCAACCAGAAGUUGGAUAGCAUCUGCAAGAGGGGACGUAGUUUCAACUUCAUCAAGUUGGAAGCCUAUCAAGACCAGAAGAUCGCCCGACCUCAUGGUAGUGACCGCAAGACACAUCCUUUGCUCGAGCGGUCGGGGGUGGUUGGGGAGAAGAUUGAAAGUGACACAAGAGCAAUUGUGGAGAUGCUCACAAAGGUAGUUGACAAGAGUGAUAGCAUCAUGGUGUUAGCCAUUGUUGGUGUUGGCGGGAUUGGCAAGACCACCCUUAGUAGGAAUAUCUACAAUGAUGAUGUCAUCCAAUGCAAGUUUGCGGAAAAGAUAUGGUUAAGCAUCACACAAGAGUUUAGCGAGGUUGAGCUGUUGAGAACAGCCAUCAUUGCCGCUAAUGGAGAAUUGCCCAGGUCUGGGGGUGGGUCUCAAGAUAAAGCCUUAGUUGUGCCGGCUCUUGCCAAUGCCAUCAAGGACAAGAAGUUCCUUCUUGUGUUGGACGACAUAUGGGGUACGGAGGAAUGGAAUGACUUGUUGAUGACACCCUUUAGCCAUGGUACCCCUGGUAGCCGGGUCCUGGUCACCACAAGACAUGAAACUAUUGCCCGAGGCAUGAAAGCGAUGCAACCGUACCACCAUAUUGAGAAAUUGGGAGCCGAAGAUGCUUGGUCAUUGCUCAAGAAGCAGAUACUUGCAAUGGAGAAAAGUGAACCAGCAAUUGAUAUGCUAAAGGACAUCGGAUUGCAAAUUAUAGAAAAAUGUGACAGGUUGCCGCUUGCCAUAAAAGUAAUGGGAGGCCUCCUAUGCCAGAAGGACAAAGAACGACGUGCGUGGGAAAAGGUUUUGAAUGAUGCUACCUGGUCAGUAUCUCAAAUGCCGGAUGAGCUGAACUAUGCAAUAUAUCUUAGCUACGAGGACUUGUCACCUUGUUUAAAACAAUGCUUUUUGCACUUUUCACUCAAACCUAAAAGGACAAUAGUACAUGACAACGAAGAUGUUGGCAUGUGGAUUGGUGAAGGAUAUGUUCAUGGGGACCCAGAAAAAAUGGAAGAACUAGGAUUUGAUUACCAUAAAGAGCUAAUACUAAGGAACCUUAUAGAACCGGACACAUCAUACUCUGGUCAAUAUGUUUGCCAAAUGCAUGAUGUUGUUCGUUCAUUUGCUCAAUUUGUGACUAGAGAUGAAGCACUGGUAGUUCACAAUGGAGAAACUGUUAACAAUAAACUUAGUUUGUGA
rnacentral:rRNA from 1 species